rnacentral:rRNA from 1 species
UACGUAGGCAGCAAGCGUUGUUCGGAGUUACUGGGCGUAAAGGGUGUGUAGGCGGUUAUUUAAGUUUGGUGUGAAAUCUCCCGGCUCAACCGGGAGGGUGCGCCGAAUACUGAAUGACUUGGAGUGCGGGAGAGGAAAGUGGAAUUCCUGGUGUAGCGGUGAAAUGCGUAGAUAUCAGGAGGAACACCGGUGGUGUAGACGGCUUUCUGGACCGUAACUGACGCUGAGACACGAAAGCGUGGGGAGCGAACAGG